rnacentral:rRNA from 1 species
GUGCCAGCCCCGCGGCGGUAAUACGGAGGGUGCAAGCGUUAAUCGGAAUUACUGGGCGUAAAGCGCACGCAGGCGGUCUGUCAAGUCGGACGUGAAAUCCCCGGGCUCAACCCGGGAACUGCAUUCGAAACUGGCAGGCUUGAGUCUCGUAGAGGGGGGUAGAAUUCCAGGUGUAGCGGUGAAAUGCGUAGAGAUCUGGAGGAAUACCGGUGGCGAAGGCGGCCCCCUGGACGAAGACUGACGCUCAGGUGCGAAAGCGUGGGGAGCAAACAGGAUUAGAUACCCUGGUAGUCCACGCCGUAAACGAUGUCUAUUUGGAGGUUGUGCCCUUGAGGCGUGGCUUCCGGAGCUAACGCGUUAAAUAGACCGCCUGGGGAGUACGGCCGCAAGGUUAAAACUCAAAUGAAUUGACGGGGGCCCGCACAAGCGGUGGAGCAUGUGGUUUAAUUCGAUGCAACGCGAAGAACCUUAACCUGGUCUUGACAAUCCACAGAAGUUUUCAGUAGAUGAGAAUGUGCCUUCGGGAACUGUGAGACAGGUG